UUUACGUAAGGAAGCAUUGAUCUGGGUAUUCUCAUUUGGUCGCUUGCUCUAGGAAAUAGGGCGGAAUGUCCAGGGAGCUGAAUAGCGAAACCGGCCGAAAG
rnacentral:ncRNA from 11 species